rnacentral:tRNA from 1 species
AUUUAGUUUAACAGAAAAAACAUUUUGAUUUGCAAUUAAAAAACCUAAGUUUAACCCUUAGAACUCAC